rnacentral:rRNA from 1 species
CGACCUCAGUUCAGGUGAGACUACCCCCUGAAUUUAAGCAUAUUACUAAGGGG